GGGGAUGUAGCUCAGUUGGGAGAGCAUCGGCUUUGCAAGCCGAGGGUCACCGGUUCGAGCCCGGUCAUCUCCACCA
rnacentral:tRNA from 1 species